UAGGGAAUUUUGCGCAAUGGGGGAAACCCUGACGCAGCAAUACCGCGUGAACGACGACGCCCUUCGGGGUGUAAAGUUCUGUCAGUGGGGACGAAUUUUGACGGUACCCACAAAGGAAGCAUCGGCUAACUACGUGCCAGCAGCCGCGGUAAGACGUAGGAUGCAAGCGUUAUCCGGAAUCAUUGGGCGUAAAGCGUUCGUAGGCGGCAUAUCAAGUCUGAUGUUAAAGCCCAGAGCUCAACUCUGGUUCGGCAUUGGAUACUGGUAAGCUAGAGUGCAAUAGAGGUAGGGGGAAUUCCUAGUGUAGCGGUGAAAUGCGUAGAUAUUAGGAGGAACACCGGUGGCGAAAGCGCCCUACUGGGUUGUAACUGACGCUGAGGAACGAAAGCCAGGGUAGCAAAUGGG
rnacentral:rRNA from 1 species